AAAAAGGCAAACCCUGAAUUUUCGUGUCCAACUUUAACGGUCCGUCUUAUAUGAAAUUUUUUUAUAAUUCGUAUUUUCAUUAUUGUUAGAUAAUAAAACAUGAUUAAUAUUUUAUGCGUGACUUGUCUUUUUAAUUUUUUUCAUAAUUUUUUCAAAUAAGACGGACGGUCAAACGUUAGACAUGGGAACC
rnacentral:pre_miRNA from 1 species